UACUGGUCGGACUGAUCGAUUGAAAGCUCUUUCUUGAUUCGGUGGAUGAUGGGGCAUGUUCAUUCUUAAUAGGUGGAGCAAUUCGGCCAGUUAAUUCUGGUAAUGAAUGACACACUAGCCCAUUAAAUAGGUGCGGAAUUCCCAGCUACUUGCAAUGAAGGGAUAAGCAGCUUCCACCUGCACGAAACAGAGCGACAACCGGUCUAUGUUGUUGUUA
rnacentral:rRNA from 1 species